rnacentral:tRNA from 1 species
GGAAGCUUGGCAGAGUGGUCGAUUGCACUGGUCUUGAAAACCAGCAUACCGAAAGGUAUCCAGGGUUCGAAUCCCUGAGCUUCCG